ACGAGUGGCGGACGGGUGAGUAACACGUAGGUAACCUGCCCAGAAGCGGGGGACAACAUUUGGAAACAGAUGCUAAUACCGCAUAACARCGUUGUUCGCAUGAACAACGCUUAAAAGAUGGCUUCUCGCUAUCACUUCUGGAUGGACCUGCGGUGCAUUAGCUUGUUGGUGGGGUAAYGGCCUACCAAGGCGAUGAUGCAUAGCCGAGUUGAGAGACUGAUCGGCCACAAUGGGACUGAGACACGGCCCAUACUCCUACGGGAGGCAGCAGUAGGGAAUCUUCCACAAUGGGCGCAAGCCUGAUGGAGCAACACCGCGUGAGUGAAGAAGGGUUUCGGCUCGUAAAGCUCUGUUGUUAAAGAAGAACACGUAUGAGAGUAACUGUUCAUACGUUGACGGUAUUUAACCAGAAAGUCACGGCUAACUACGUGCCAGCAGCCGCGGUAAUACGUAGGUGGCAAGCGUUAUCCGGAUUUAUUGGGCGUAAAGAGAGUGCAGGCGGUUUUCUAAGUCUGAUGUGAAAGCCUUCGGCUUAACCGGAGAAGUGCAUCGGAAACUGGAUAACUUGAGUGCAGAAGAGGGUAGUGGAACUCCAUGUGUAGCGGUGGAAUGCGUAGAUAUAUGGAAGAACACCAGUGGCGAAGGCGGCUACCUGGUCUGCAACUGACGCUGAGACUCGAAAGCAUGGGUAGCGAACAGGAUUAGAUACCCUGGUAGUCCAUGCCGUAAACGAUGAGUGCUAGGUGUUGGAGGGUUUCCGCCCUUCAGUGCCGGAGCUAACGCAUUAAGCACUCCGCCUGGGGAGUACGACCGCAAGGUUGAAACUCAAAGGAAUUGACGGGGGCCCGCACAAGCGGUGGAGCAUGUGGUUUAAUUCGAAGCUACGCGAAGAACCUUACCAGGUCUUGACAUCUUGCGCCAACCCUAGAGAUAGGGCGUUUCCUUCGGGAACGCAAUGACAGGUGGUGCAUGGUCGUCGUCAGCUCGUGUCGUGAGAUGUUGG
rnacentral:rRNA from 1 species